CCAUCUCCCGUCUCCUCUCUCUCUGAUGUCGAUCCUUAAAGGAUUCUGUUCAGAAGCCGGUAGGAGCGGAGCAUUUGGCCAAGUUAAUAUUUCGCCAUUAAUUUCUCUUGGGCCACCAGUCGGCCACAAAGCCUGCUGAUGGAUAAUUGUAUGGUUAGUUGGGAUAAACAUAAUGGGGACGUUUAACCGUUGAUUACCGAUCCAGCGAAUGUCGUGUUAGGAUCAAGUGAAGAGAUCUCCAGGCCUGCAUUUUGAUUCAGCGAAUGCCAUCAUAUGAAUCAUGAUUCAUUUUUUAGAAGCAAAAACACCGACACACGACUUCAAGUAGUGUUUUUUUAUAUAAUGGAUAAUAUUCUGGCUUCAACCUCCUCAAAGAAGAGGAUCAGUUCACUAUUAUUACAAGUAGUAACACUUGCUACACGCCCACGAGUAGUGUUGGCAGUUUGGAAGGAUAGAGAUUGUACUGACCAGUUCAAUGCCCAGUUCUCGGAGAUGUCAGUACAAUUGUGAAGGUAAAAAUAGUUUAAUUUCAUGUUUUUGAGGUGGAAUUCUAAAAUUACCAAUAAAAAUUGUUUUCUGAUCAUUUCUAUAUUCCGUAAAUGUGAACAACAAUGUCUUUGCUUUUUGAAAAACAACAUCUGGAGUCUUCAAGGCCAUGCUCCAUUUCAUCUACACCGACACAUGCCCUGAGCUCGCUCCACAGCAUAUCGGUGAUAUAGGGCGUGAAGAGUCGAUGGCCAUGGCACAGCAUCUUCUUUCAGCUGCCGAUAGGUUUGGACUGACCAGGCUUAAGUUGAUGUGCCAAGAAAAGCUUUGCAGUGGCAUCGAUGUGGGUAUGGUCGCGGGUUGCCACAAAUUUGGCUCUAGCGGAGCAGCACAGCUGCUCCCUGCUGAAGACCAGAUGCGUCAAAUUCAUUUUUGAUUCUCCUGUAAAUCUUGAGGCUGUGAUAGCAACCGAGGGUCACAAGCACCUCGUGGCAAGCUGCCCAUUUCCCAUGAGUGAACUUCUCUGUGAUAGCAACCGAGGGUCACAAGCACCUUGUGGCAAGCUGCCCAUUUCCCAUGAGUGAACUUCUCAGGGCUGCCGUUGGGAGGAGGUAGUUAUAGCUGAAGAAUUGCAGGAUUUCCUUACACCUCUAACUACGCAACCUUCGGGCACCUGUAAAGCAAAUGGUAUUUAUGAUGUUGGCACUGAAGAAUAUUUGCAAUAAAUCCUAUGCUCCAAACGAGCCUACCUCUAGGAAAAUUCAAGUAACUGAUAUGCAACUGUUACACUUUGCUGAAUUUUUAUUUGUAUUGGCAUAUUAUUUGCUAAACCAUUAGUAUUUCCAUUGACAAAUAAUUUUACAAUAUACCGAUCAAUUUUUCAGUAUUUGUUCUGCCAAAUUAUAAAACAACUGUAUCUCAUGCUGUUGAAUAUUGAUACAAUGGUUGUCACAUUGCUGCGGUUCUAGUAUGCUUUGCCAAAAUAGUUUCUGCAUUUAGCCAUACAUCUUUUUGUGUGAAGAACAAGUGAUACAUUUCAUGAUGUCUGUUAAAUGCAUAUCUGUCCUCUAAAGUAAUAAGGUCUUAUAUGGAAAAGUACUACAUUUGUCUGUUUUACAGUAGCAAGUUAGAUCCCUGCAGUGAAUGCACCACAAAGAAAAUUGAAUGUUAACUAACCCCUAUCGAUUAUCUAGACCUGGUUGGUACCUUUGAUUACAAAUAAUCGAAAGUUAGCCAGAGCUAACGAACAGGUCACAUCAACUGUAAAUGCUGCAAUAACUUAGCGCCAACAUAACAACUUGCUCUUUGGUCUCUAGUUAUUACCCCUGUACCUCAAUAGAAUUGAGAGAGAGUCAUCUACUUGUAGACCAAUGUAAAUGACAUUUAUCCAGGGAGCAAACAACACAAGGCUCAUAUAAUCAUCAUCUUAGUUUGUGAUUGCAUCUAGGCAUAUCACCGAUGGUGUGUGGCGUGCAUCAGUGCAUGAGGUUGACUGGUUGAGGUGUCCAUGGCUCUCCAUUGCCAACAUGGGGUGUUUGUGGGAUAUUAUUUCUAUGGGCAGGGUCGCCCGGGGGGGAGGGGGGGAGGGGGGGGGGGAGGGUGUGCGGCCGCCCCGGGCCCCCAAAUCCUAGGGGCAUAGUAACGGUAACACAAUUCUUAGGACAAAGGCAAUGCUUAUGUUCCAAAUAGCAUUAAGGUGGGGGUCCAGAAAAAGGUAGCCAUUGUUACUGCCCCGCCCACAAUGGUUCACAGGUGACAUUAAGGUGGGCCCACUUCGUGGUUAAAAAAAGGGUCCAAUUCAUCUACCGCACCCCCUCAUCCCUAAUUCCCUAUCGCCUCAUCCUGCCGCUGGUCCUCUCUCCCACUCGCAUCGCGCGCCCACCACCCCUCGGCGGAACGGCGAACGGGCAGAGAUCAGCUAGGAGAUCGUCAAUUCGCUUCUGUGAUCAGCACUGUGGAAUAUCAUGUCGUCUAGAAAAUAUGAAUUAGGUAACGAGAAAAGGAAAAGAAAAAGACGUGUGGAUGAGUUGAUAGAAUCACAGAGAGGAGCUAUGGAUAAAUUUUGCAAGAGUAAUCAGGGCCCUGGGAGUAAUACAAGCGCUUCGACGAACCCAGAUGAGUUGGCAAUAGUUGUUGUGGAUGAACCAACUAAUGGGAAUCAGAAAGAAAAUGUUAACAUCAACGUCGAUGAUAACAAUAUAUGCACAAAAAUGGGAAUGUGGAUGGCGAGUUAGGAAGUUGGAUUUUACAGAGGCUUUCUCCUAGCAGCAGAGUACUGUACAGUUCUUCUAAUCCUUGUCAGGGAACUGGAGCAAGCAGGGAGAACUUGAC